rnacentral:rRNA from 1 species
ACGCUGGCGGCGUGCCUAAUACAUGCAAGUCGAACGCCUUGUGGUUUUAAUGAAUAGCGUGCUUGCACAAUAUGAUUUAAAACAAUGCAAGGAGUGGCGAACGGGUGAGUAACACGUGGGAAACCUACCUCUUAGCAGGGGAUAACAUUUGGAAACAGAUGCUAAUACCGUAUAACACUAAAAACCGCAUGGUUUUUAUUUGAAAGAUGGUUCUGCUAUCACUAAGAGAUGGUCCCGCGGUGCAUUAGUUAGAUGGUGAGGUAAUGGCUCACCAUGACGAUGAUGCAUAGCCGAGUUGAGAGACUGAUCGGCCACAAUGGGACUGAGACACGGCCCAUACUCCUACGGGAGGCAGCAGUAGGGAAUCUUCCACAAUGGGCGCAAGCCUGAUGGAGCAACGCCGCGUGUGUGAUGAAGGGUUUCGGCUCGUAAAGCACUGUUGUAAGAGAAGAAUGUACUUGAGAGUAACUGUUCAAGUAGUGACGGUAUCUUACCAGAAAGGGACGGCUAAAUACGUGCCAGCAGCCGCGGUAAUACGUAUGUCCCAAGCGUUAUCCGGAUUUAUUGGGCGUAAAGCGAGCGCAGACGGUUAUUUAAGUCUGAAGUGAAAGCCCCCAGCUCAACUGAGGAAUUGCUUUGGAAACUGGAUGACUUGAGUGCAGUAGAGGAAAGUGGAACUCCAUGUGUAGCGGUGAAAUGCGUAGAUAUAUGGAAGAACGCCAGUGGCGAAGGCGGCUUUCUGGACUGUAACUGACGUUGAGGCUCGAAAGUGUGGGUAGCAAAC